rnacentral:rRNA from 1 species
AACGAACGCUGGCGGCAUGCCUAACACAUGCAAGUCGAACGAGAUCUUCGGAUCUAGUGGCGCACGGGUGCGUAACGCGUGGGAAUCUGCCCUUUGGUUCGGAAUAACUUCGGGAAACUGAAGCUAAUACCGGAUGAUGACUUCGGUCCAAAGAUUUAUCGCCAAAGGAUGAGCCCGCGUAAGAUUAGCUAGUUGGUGGGGUAAAGGCCUACCAAGGCGACGAUCUUUAGCUGGUCUGAGGGGAUGAUCAGCCACACUGGGACUGAGACACGGCCCAGACCCCUACGGGAGGCAGCAGUGGGGAAUAUUGGACAAUGGGCGAAAGCCUGAUCCAGCAAUGCCGCGUGAGUGAUGAAGGCCUUAGGGUUGUAAAGCUCUUUUACCCGGGAUGAUAAUGACAGUACCGGGAGAAUAAGCUCCGGCUAACUCCGUGCCAGCCGCCGCGGUAA